GGGUGACUAGCUCAGUUGGUAGAGCAGCUGACUCUUAAUCAGAAGGUCCAGGGUUCGAUCCCCUGGUUGCCCACCA
rnacentral:tRNA from 1 species